AGGGUGCAAGGUAGACAGAGAAAGGGGUUGACAUUUGAGCAGGGUUUUGAAGGGCGAUUAGGAGUUUGCGUCUGGCUAAGGAGGCGUGCACUCUCUGUUUCAGAAACCAUUAUGAACUCUCACUUCAAGGACUGGCCAUGCUGUCCUGCAGACAGUGAUGUUGAGAGGUUAAGUCUUAUACCCAGGGUCACACAGUUGUGGUAUCACUCAUUCCUCAUCAUAGCCUGGAGGGCAGAGAUUUUUUAUUCCUAUUUUGCAAAGGGACAAACUGAGGCUCUGCAAGAGGAAGUAGUUUGUGUAGGGACAAAGGAGUCAAAGAUGAGUAAGGAGUGCCCUGUUCUCAAGGAUGAGCCCCUGAGGAUGGCAAAGACAGAUAGAGUGUGACAUGUCCCCGAUGAGUGGAUGGAUGGGUGGAUGGACAAAUGGAUGGACAGAUGGGUGGAUGAGUGGAUGGGUGGGUGGAUAAAUGGGUGGAUGGAUGGAUGGAUGGAUGGAGUAAUGGAUGGGUGGAUGUGCGGGUGAGGGAACAGAUGGAUGGAUGGGUGGAUGAGGGGAUAAAUGAAUGGAUGAUAGGAAGGAAGAUGAUAGAUGGAUAUGUGAAUGGAUUAAUGAAUCCAUGGAUGAUUCAUUGGAGAGGAAGGUGUGUGGAUGUGUGAAUAUAUGAAUCAGUGGGUAGAGAUAAAGCGGGUAAGCAGAGGCUACUUCCACCCACAAAAGACAUUGUGAAAACUUCCCCUACUAGGAGGACA
rnacentral:lncRNA from 1 species